CCUACGGGGGGCAGCAGUGGGGAAUUUUGGACAAUGGACGCAAGUCUGAUCCAGCCAUUCCGCGUGCAGGACGAAGGCCUUCGGGUUGUAAACUGCUUUUGUACGGAACGAAAAAGCCUUGGUUAAUACCCAGGGUCCAUGACGGUACCGUAAGAAUAAGCACCGGCUAACUACGUGCCAGCAGCCGCGGUAAUACGUAGGGUGCAAGCGUUAAUCGGAAUUACUGGGCGUAAAGCGUGCGCAGGCGGUUAUAUAAGACAGAUGUGAAAUCCCCGAGCUU
rnacentral:rRNA from 1 species